CGGCGGACGGGUGAGUAACACGUGGAUAACCUACCUAUAAGACUGGGAUAACUUCGGGAAACCGGAGCUAAUACCGGAUAAUAUAUUGAACCGCAUGGUCCAAUAGUGAAAGACGGUUUUGCUGUCACUUAUAGAUGGAUCCGCGCUGCAUUAGCUAGUUGGUAAGGUAACGGCUUACCAAGGCAACGAUGCGUAGCCGACCUGAGAGGGUGAUCGGCCACACUGGAACUGAGACACGGUCCAGACUCCUACGGGAGGCAGCAGGG
rnacentral:rRNA from 1 species